GAUGCAUAUCGUUUUAAGAUACAUCAUUUGCAUAUUUCUGAAAAAGAAUAUUGCUUAAAUCGCAGUAUUCUUUAUAGCCUAUUACGCAACUCCGUGACACGAAAAUCUACCGCAAUGGAGACUUUUUUUUUACGAAUUUUAUAAAAUUAGUUAAUUAUCUAGUCUUAAUACGAUAAUCACACAGGAUUACAUGAUUCAAUUCAAGAUUCUAUACGGUAUUAUAUCUCGAAAUACAGUAUUAUCAUUAUGCGCAAAAUUAUUACAAUUAAACCCAAGCCCAAAGCCAUAUGCCAAUUCUGUGAGUAUCAAUAAGACAAAAUUAUUUUCACAUUCAGAGAAAGUGAAUCGUUACUGUCUUAGAUUUAUCAUCAACAAAUGUACAUAUAACCUUCAUUCACUUACGUCAAAAGAUGAAGUGCUCUUUCAAUAGGUUUUUUUUCCAAACCAGGAUCUAAAGUGUGUUUCUUUAAUUGCUCUUCAUUCUAAAGAAGGAAUUGUAAAUCGAUCGUUUUAGAAAUGUUCUACUUUGAAUGAAAUGAAUAUGAAGAACAAUGUGCACAAUGUUACUUACUCUUACAUCAGGUAUAGGCUUGUCUAAUUGAAGGCUAGCAAAUUCCUCAUAGUCCAUAAACAUGAUGGACGCAUUUUACGAUGAAUGCUGUUAACGGAUAUAACCCCAUUUAUUUGAAAGAAUUGAUCAGAACAGGAAACGCAUAUUCAGGUGAUAUCUCGUACGGAAGUAAAAAACACGAUCGUUCGCGAUGGAUUUCAAGAAUGAUUAUUGAAAUUCUACAUGUAGAUGCUCCUAUAGGAAAUUUUUGAAGAUGCAGGACGCAAGAAAUGAAUAUUACCGAACACACGCAAUUGUAUAAAAUAUGAAAUAUAUUUACUUUUCAUAAUAUGUCGUAUAAUUUAGAUAAGUAUACGUACUUUACGGGCAUUGCAUAGAGUUUAUCAUAUACGUUUAACGAUAUAAAAGAUUACAGUUUACAUUUAAUAUAUACAGAAGAGCGAAAGAUUUGGAUCAUAUUUGAACAGUGCCAUUGAACUUUCGCGUGUAUCUUAUAGUUUUAAGAUAAUCGCUUGUAUCCUCAUACGAAGCACAAUUAUAUGUUCUACAAUUUAUAUGUUCUAAGUUUAAAAAAUAUAAAACAAAAUGUGAUAAUUAUUAAUAACA